GAAGAAAUUCCGUCUAAUACCGCGUAAUAACUCCGAGAGGCAUCUCCUGGGGUUUAAAGGGUAACACCGGCUACGGAUGGCCAUGCGGCGCAUUAGCUAGUUGGCGGGGUAACGGCCCACCAAGGCGACGAUGCGUAGGGGUUCUGAGAGGAAGGUCCCCCACACUGGUACUGAGACACGGACCAGACUCAAACGGGAGGCAGCAGUGAGGAAUAUUGGUCAAUGGGCGCGAGCCUGAACCAGCCAAGUCGCGUGAGGGAAGACGGUCCUAUGGAUUGUAAACCUCUUUUGUCGGGGAGCAAAAGACGCCACGUGUGGCGUUCCGAGAGUACCCGAAGAAAAAGCAUCGGCUAACUCCGUGCCAGCAGCCGCGGUAAUACGGAGGAUGCGAGCGUUAUCCGGAUUUAUUGGGUUUAAAGGGUGCGCAGGCGGAAGAUCAAGUCAGCGGUAAAAUUGAGAGGCUCAACCUCUUCGAGCCGUUGAAACUGGUUUUCUUGAGUGGGCGAGAAGUAUGCGGAAUGCGUGGUGUAGCGGUGAAAUGCAUAGAUAUCACGCAGAACUCCGAUUGCGAAGGCAGCAUACCGGCGCCCAACUGACGCUGAAGCACGAAAGCGUGGGUAUCGAACAGGAUUAGAUACCCUGGUAGUCCACGCAGUAUACGAUGAAUGCUAAUUGUCCGGAGGGAUUGACCUCUGGGUGAU
rnacentral:rRNA from 1 species